UACGGAGGGUGCGAGCGUUGUCCGGAAUCACUGGGCGUAAAGGGCGCGUAGGCGGCCCCUUAAGGGUGCGGUGAAAGUCCGGGGCUCAACCCCGGAUCGGCCGUGCCGACUGAGAGGCUGGAGCACUGUAGAGGCGAGUGGAAUUCCGGGUGUAGCGGUGGAAUGCGUAGAGAUCCGGAAGAACACCGGUGGCGAAGGCGGCUCGCUGGGCAGUGGCUGACGCUGAGGCGCGACAGCGUGGGGAGCAAACAGG
rnacentral:rRNA from 1 species